GUCUGGUAGGUACCUGCAUACCACGUU
rnacentral:piRNA from 1 species